UUUGUUGUUAGAAAAUUCGUUGUCUUAUUACCAAAAAAGAAAAAAAAAUCACCGAACAAAAUGAAGAACAUCGUUGGUUUCUCAGAAAUCAAAUGCGAAAUUCUUUUAGAGACAUCAUUACUUCGUCUCCGUUUAUACUUGUACUUGUUCAAUUCGUGAAUCCUAUGAAGAAAUUCGCAACGGAUUGUCAAGAAGCCGACUGUUAUAUGGGUGAAGGAUGAUUCGCGUUAAAUAUAAGACCAUGGAGGAGGGAAUGUGAUUUUGUUAUUAAAUUAUGCAGUAUAUAUGUAAAAGUAUGUAUUAAGGUGAAGGAUGAUUUGCGAGUAAUAUGAGACUCUGGAGGAGCUACAGUAGCUAUUUAGAAAUAUAUAUAUAUAUGUUGCAGGUGAAGCAUACUUUGCAAGUAACAUAAGAAUGUGGAGAAGGGAAGAGAUAUUUUGUCAUUGGAGAUAUCCAGAAAUCUAUAUUUAAAAGAUGCAAACAGAUGCAGAGAAUAUCGGAGUGAAAUAUUUUCCAACAUUUAUGAACAAUCAAAACGGGUUGAAUCUAAGAUACGCGUCUAGGACGUAUGACGAUGCAUAGGGUCCGCGUUUUUAUCCGAGAAAAUAACCCAGGAUCCGCGUCUUGUAUCUCAUCAAAUUGUCUUAUUUAACCUUCCACGAGAUUUUUAAUUUUCCCUUUAAAUUCAAAAAUACCAAUGGCAUUGUUUGUAAUUAUUCGAUAAAGUAAAGG